rnacentral:rRNA from 1 species
GUUAAGCGACUAAGCGUACACGGUGGAUGCCCUGGCAGUCAGAGGCGAUGAAGGACGUGCUAAUCUGCGAAAAGCGUCGGUAAGGUGAUAUGAACCGUUAUAACCGGCGAUGUCCGAAUGGGGAAACCCAGUGCAAUUCGUUGCACUAUCGUUAACUGAAUACAUAGGUUAACGAGGCGAACCGGGGGAACUGAAACAUCUAAGUACCCCGAGGAAAAGAAAUCAACCGAGAUUCCCCCAGUAGCGGCGAGCGAACGGGGAGCAGCCCAGAGUCUGAAUCAGCUUGUGUGUUAGUGGAACGGUCUGGAAAGUCCGACGGUACAGGGUGAUAGUCCCGUACACCAAAAUGCACAGGUUGUGAACUCGAAGAGUAGGGCGGGACACGUGGUAUCCUGUCUGAAUAUGGGGGGACCAUCCUCCAAGGCUAAAUACUCCUGACUGACCGAUAGUGAACCAGUACCGUGAGGGAAAGGCGAAAAGAACCCCGGCGAGGGGAGUGAAAAAGAACCUGAAACCGUGUACGUACAAGCAGUGGGAGCACCUUCGGGUGUGACUGCGUACCUUUUGUAUAAUGGGUCAGCGACUUAUAUUCUGUAGCAAGGUUAACCGUAUAGGGGAGCCGCAGGGAAACCGAGUCUUAACUGGGCGUUAAGUUGCAGGGUAUAGACCCGAAACCCGGUGAUCUAGCCAUGGGCAGGUUGAAGGUUGGGUAACACUAACUGGAGGACCGAACCGACUAAUGUUGAAAAAUUAGCGGAUGACUUGUGGCUGGGGGUGAAAGGCCAAUCAAACCGGGAGAUAGCUGGUUCUCCCCGAAAGCUAUUUAGGUAGCGCCUCGUGAACUCAUCUUCGGGGGUAGAGCACUGUUUCGGCUAGGGGGUCAUCCCGACUUACCAACCCGAUGCAAACUACGAAUACCGAAGAAUGUUAUCACGGGAGACACACGGCGGGUGCUAACGUCCGUCGUGAAGAGGGAAACAACCCAGACCGCCAGCUAAGGUCCCAAAGUCAUGGUUAAGUGGGAAACGAUGUGGGAAGGCACAGACAGCCAGGAUGUUGGCUUAGAAGCAGCCAUCAUUUAAAGAAAGCGUAAUAGCUCACUGGUCGAGUCGGCCUGCGCGGAAGAUGUAACGGGGCUAAACCAUGCACCGAAGCUGCGGCAGCGACACUAUGUGUUGUUGGGUAGGGGAGCGUUCUGUAAGCCUGCGAAGGUGUGCUGUGAGGCAUGCUGGAGGUAUCAGAAGUGCGAAUGCUGACAUAAGUAACGAUAAAGCGGGUGAAAAGCCCGCUCGCCGGAAGACCAAGGGUUCCUGUCCAACGUUAAUCGGGGCAGGGUGAGUCGACCCCUAAGGCGAGGCCGAAAGGCGUAGUCGAUGGGAAACAGGUUAAUAUUCCUGUACUUGGUGUUACUGCGAAGGGGGGACGGAGAAGGCUAUGUUAGCCGGGCGACGGUUGUCCCGGUUUAAGCAUGUAGGCUGAUUGUCCAGGCAAAUCCGGAUAAUCAAGGCUGAGGUGUGAUGACGAGGCACUACGGUGCUGAAGUAACAAAUGCCCUGCUUCCAGGAAAAGCCUCUAAGCAUCAGGUAACAUUAAAUCGUACCCCAAACCGACACAGGUGGUCAGGUAGAGAAUACCAAGGCGCUUGAGAGAACUCGGGUGAAGGAACUAGGCAAAAUGGUGCCGUAACUUCGGGAGAAGGCACGCUGGUGUGUAGGUGAAGUCCCUGCGGAUGGAGCUGAGACCAGUCGAAGAUACCAGCUGGCUGCAACUGUUUAUUAAAAACACAGCACUGUGCAAACACGAAAGUGGACGUAUACGGUGUGACGCCUGCCCGGUGCCGGAAGGUUAAUUGAUGGGGUUAUCCGUAAGGAGAAGCUCUUGAUCGAAGCCCCGGUAAACGGCGGCCGUAACUAUAACGGUCCUAAGGUAGCGAAAUUCCUUGUCGGGUAAGUUCCGACCUGCACGAAUGGCGUAAUGAUGGCCAGGCUGUCUCCACCCGAGACUCAGUGAAAUUGAACUCGCUGUGAAGAUGCAGUGUACCCGCGGCAAGACGGAAAGACCCCGUGAACCUUUACUAUAGCUUGACACUGAACAUUGAGCCUUGAUGUGUAGGAUAGGUGGGAGGCUUUGAAGCGUGGACGCCAGUCUGCGUGGAGCCAACCUUGAAAUACCACCCUUUAAUGUUUGAUGUUCUAACGUUGGCCCCUGACCGGGGUUGCGGACAGUGUCUGGUGGGUAGUUUGACUGGGGCGGUCUCCUCCCAAAGCGUAACGGAGGAGCACGAAGGUUAGCUAAUCCUGGUCGGACAUCAGGAGGUUAGUGCAAUGGCAUAAGCUAGCUUGACUGCGAGCGUGACGGCGCGAGCAGGUGCGAAAGCAGGUCAUAGUGAUCCGGUGGUUCUGAAUGGAAGGGCCAUCGCUCAACGGAUAAAAGGUACUCCGGGGAUAACAGGCUGAUACCGCCCAAGAGUUCAUAUCGACGGCGGUGUUUGGCACCUCGAUGUCGGCUCAUCACAUCCUGGGGCUGAAGUAGGUCCCAAGGGUAUGGCUGUUCGCCAUUUAAAGUGGUACGCGAGCUGGGUUUAGAACGUCGUGAGACAGUUCGGUCCCUAUCUGCCGUGGGCGCUGGAGAAUUGAGGGGGGCUGCUCCUAGUACGAGAGGACCGGAGUGGACGCAUCACUGGUGUUCGGGUUGUCAUGCCAAUGGCACUGCCCGGUAGCUAAAUGCGGAAGAGAUAAGUGCUGAAAGCAUCUAAGCACGAAACUUGCCCCGAGAUGAGUUCUCCCUGAGACUUUAAGUCUCCUGAAGGAACGUUGAAGACGACGACGUUGAUAGGCCGGGUGUGUAAGCGCAGCGAUGCGUUGAGCUAACCGGUACUAAUGAACCGUGAGGCUUAACC